rnacentral:hammerhead_ribozyme from 1 species
AUCCAGAUGACCAGUCCCAAAUAGGGCAAAAUGAGCAUCCUGGAU